CCCCGGAUUGUUACCAUAUAUCUAAUGUUUUCCACAGUUAAUUUGUUAUCACUAUAGGCAUCCAUUAGGUGUACUUACCCAUCAAUCUUUAACUAGCUCUCAUUCUUGUUAUAGGUUGGUGAUGGGAUGGCUUAGAUUCUCAGAAUCUCAAAAGAUACUUGAUUGCAUAAAUAGGCCAAGCACUGCUCACCCAAUUCCUGUUCACGUUGAAGAAGUUAAAGAUGUAGUUAGUGUUGCCCAAUACAUUCUUGUUGUGGAGAAAGAAUCAG